UGUUCGGGUUGUCAUGCCAAUGGCACUGCCCGGUAGCUAAAUGCGGAAGAGAUAAGUGCUGAAAGCAUCUAAGCACGAAACUUGCCCCGAGAUGAGUUCUCCCUGAGACUUAGAGUCUCCUGAAGGAACGUUGAAGACGACGACGUUGAUAGGCCGGGUGUGUAAGCGCAGCGAUGCGUUGAGCUAACCGGUACUAAUGAACCGUGAGGCUUAACCUU
rnacentral:rRNA from 3 species